rnacentral:rRNA from 1 species
UACGUAGGGGGCAAGCGUUGUCCGGAUUUACUGGGCGUAAAGAGGGCGUAGGCGGAGAUCUAAGCGUGGCCUGAAAGCCCCCGGCUCAACCGGGGAGUGCGGCUGCGAACUGGGUUUCUUGAGGACGAUAGAGGAGAGUGGAAUUCCUGGUGUAGCGGUGAAAUGCGUAGAUAUCAGGAGGAACACCCGAGGCGAAGGCGGCUCUCUGGGUCGUACCUGACGCUGAGGCGCGAAAGCGUGGGGAGCGAACGGG